rnacentral:rRNA from 1 species
UACGUAGGGUCCGAGCGUUGUCCGGAAUUAUUGGGCGUAAAGGGCUCGUAGGCGGUUUGUCGCGUCGGGAGUGAAAACACGGGGCUUAACCCCGUGCCUGCUUCCGAUACGGGCAGACUAGAGGUAUGCAGGGGAGAACGGAAUUCCUGGUGUAGCGGUGGAAUGCGCAAAUAUCAGGAAGAACACCGGUGGCGAAGGCGGCUCUCUGGGCCUUACCUGACGCUGAGGAGCGAAAGCGUGGGUAGCGAACAGG